UACGUAGGGUGCGAGCGUUGUUCGGAAUUAUUGGGCGUAAAGGGCUCGUAGGCGGUCUGUCGCGUCGGGCGUGAAAACCCAGGGCUUAACCCUGAGCCUGCUUCCGAUACGGGCAGACUAGAGGUAUGCAGGGGAGAGCGGAAUUCCUGGUGUAGCGGUGAAAUGCGCAGAUAUCAGGAGGAACACCGGUGGCGAAGGCGGUUCUCUGGGCAUUACCUGACGCUGAGGAGCGAAAGUGUGGGGAGCAAACAGG
rnacentral:rRNA from 1 species